GUCAUGAUCAGGAACUUUCGCGAAAUUCAAACCCCCACUGUGUACUGGAUGAAGGACACGCGAUCGUUUGUCUUGUGGAGUUUUAUAUAACACAGUAAGUAAAAGAGACGCAACAUGCAUGACGGGGAUGAUAAAAUAAUCAAUAAGAAGUUUGAAUCUUUAAAUGAAUGCUGAACCCCAAAGAAGCCAAACGAAGAUUAGAUGUUUUCUGUACCAAACCACAAAUCAGCAUUUGCUGAUGUCAUGUACCACACUUUGUCAACAAUAAAUGUUGUUUCUGCAAUCUGGAUAAAGAAUAAUAUAUUACUGCCUCUUGGAGAACAGCCGGCCGUACUCCAGACAGAGACAAAGACGUGAGGACAUCUAUUGCUUUUGUAAAGGAAUUUUAUACCCAAGAGUUAUAAAUGUUGUCUUUAUUGUUUGUCUUAAUCUUUUAUUUGACAUUUUAACAAUAUAAAGUUUACUUAUACUUGUUUUUAUAUUUGUUUUUUGUUUGUAGAAGUCAUGUAUCACACUUUGUCAACAAUGCAUGUUGUUCUUGCAAUCUGGAUGAAGAAUAAUAUAUUACUGCCUCUUGGGAAAACAGCAGACUGUACUCCAGACAGAGACAAAGACAUGAGGACAUCCAUUGCUUUUAAGUCCUAUACCAGACUAUGUUGUUCCAGCUGUCUGGGUAAAGACUGAUACAUUACUGCCUCUUGGAGAACAGCAAACCAUUCUCCAGACAGAGACAAAGACAUGGACAUCAAAACAGAAAAUUAAGUACUUGAUCUUGGAUUGUUUGGAGUGAACGCUGGAAAAUAAUGAAGCAGGACAUUAAAAUGCUUGACUAAAACAAUUUUUAGAAAUCCUUCUGGAACUCUGAAAUCUGCAAACAUAUUUUUUCCCAUGUCUUGAAUUGAAUGUUAAAAGUAUCAGUUCUUGGACUGGCAGUGUGUACUAUAUCAUUUUUUCCUUACUCUUAUUCAUUUUAUGUAAAUGUAUUUUCUAACUGUAUUUUAUGAUUUUUUCUGUAGGCUGUAAGAAGUCCUUUGUGUGCACAGACAUGACUGGAGAUUAAAGUUACUAAAUGUUGCUUUUUUUCUAGCUGGUGUCAUAAAUACAUUUGAAAAUAAUACCAUGUUAUCUAAUACACAUUUGCACAUCUGUAAACAUUCAUUUUAUAUAGGAUGUUUUUUAUAUUUAACCAGUUGUUGUAUAUUGCUUUCUGUUAUUACAUCUGGG